GACGAACGCUGGCGGCGUGCUUAACACAUGCAAGUCGAACGGAAAGGCCCUGCUUGCAGGGUACUCGAGUGGCGAACGGGUGAGUAACACGUGGGUGAUCUGCCCUGCACUUCGGGAUAAGCUUGGGAAACUGGGUCUAAUACCGGAUAGGAGCCAUCUUUAGUGUGGUGGUUGGAAAGUUUUUUCGGUGUAGGAUGAGCUCGCGGCCUAUCAGCUUGUUGGUGGGGUAAUGGCCUACCAAGGCGGCGACGGGUAGCCGGCCUGAGAGGGUGUACGGCCACAUUGGGACUGCGAUACGGCCCAGACUCCUACGGGAGGCAGCAGUGGGGAAUAUUGCACAAUGGGCGCAAGCCUGAUGCAGCGACGCCGCGUGGGGGAUGAAGGCCUUCGGGUUGUAAACUCCUUUCGCUAGGGACGAAGCUUUGUUGUGACGGUACCUAGAUAAGAAGCACCGGCUAACUACGUG
rnacentral:rRNA from 1 species